rnacentral:sRNA from 2 species
GGGAGGUUUAGUUAUUCAUUCGGUUGCGGUUGUAAAUUCCACGUCCCAACUGGGUAGAACCUUGGAUCUAGUCCUUUUGUUUUCAGAGAUUGGUGUCAUAAAUACACAAGACUGACAGACCUCAAUGCCAAUUGAUAUGGAUCUGGGACAUGCAAUUCGGAAUAGUCUGAUAGCGUAGUGGACAAGAUAACUCUUCACACAAGGCAUGAAAGCCACCGAGGGGAAAGGCUGCACCGCACAAGUGGGUACGAUUUCAACCAUAUAUCCCCUUAUCGUCUUGUGGGAACCGCCUCGACAGUCAUCCUGCCAUAUUCCUCUAAUUGAACAUCCGCCUCUUGUUCAAGGAGAUGUGUUAUAACGUUCUCAUGACUGCCCUUCCUCUCUGUCUAGUGCAAUGUGCGAUCCUUCUUGAAUCACUCUACGAAUACCAAAUUCUCUACAACAGGACACCGACCGUGGCAAGAUAAGCAUGGCCGUCUAUUCCACUCUGUCCCGUAACUCUCCUGCGCUGCAUGUGUCUUGACCAUAUAUUUAUGCAGGGAGCCGAUAGUGCCUCCAUCUUGCCUAGCUUGUAGAAUGACCCAUUCUGCUUCCAUCUGUCGCAGGUCGAGGCCACACCUGUCCACCAGAUGCGAGAUGAAAAUGGAGCUAGGCAGACUUCAAGCACGUUUGGAAGCAUGGUACUGUACAUACAUACAUACAUACAUGGAAGUGAGAAAAUAAGGCUGAAGAAUUCGACUGAGUUUUCUGUGGAACCAUUCUGCUAUCUACUAGGAGAUAGACAUACAAAAUAUGUUCUCCUCUAGGGGUGUGUCUGAAGCAUUUUUUGUCCUGGUGUUGGUUGGCGGGCGCUGGGGAUGAAUUGCGUCGAAGACCCCAGCUAGCACCGAGCGAGCUCCUGCUGGCCAUUAAUUUUGGACUGAUUCAAGCCUGCAUCCAUGACAAACUACAGGGGUUCCUUUUUGCUACACGCCCUCACCCCCAUACUAUACUACGGCAGGCCUCGAGGUGCAAUGCUGUUGUGCUAGAGGUAGAGUUGGAGGGUAAGAAUGGAGUGGGGAUUGUGUACUGACAGGAUUUUGAGAUCGAUUCUGGAGAUUAUUUGGUCAGGGUUGAAAUAUCUCAGACCACAGAAGGCUGUUGCUUCGUGGGUUUAUGUUCAUUUAUUCUGAGGGGCCAUCUUCCGGUUGGAUGCGAGAUGCCGGGGUGACGUCUAUGGGUGCGAGGGGGCCGAAAGAUGUGGGUUGAACAUGAGACAUUCUCUAUAUUCAUAGACAAGUCUAUGAGACCUCUUUUGCAGUUCUGGAAUGUAUUUUGCUGUUGCCAUGGGGAGGGUGUGAGUGUGACCUAUCCAAACCUGGGCUGAAAGCGGACAUAGUUUGGGUCUUGACUGAAGUUUUGGACUUUGGGAUAUUAUCCAUCAAUAACCCAGUGCGCUGCGCUGCAUUUGCCAAUUGGGUGAAUGAGAUAAGAUCGCUUCUGAGAAGAGAUCGAAGGUCGAUCUCUAUGUAUGUACAGCACAAGCUAAUGGAUAUGAAAAAUAAAUCACUCCGGAAAAGGGGAA